rnacentral:rRNA from 1 species
AGGACGAACGCUGGCGGCGUAGCUUAAGACAUGCAAGUCGAACGAAUGUAGAAAUACAUUAGUGGCGGACUGGUGAGUAACGUGUGAGCAAUCUGACCUUUAACUGGGGGAUAACACUUAGAAAUAGGUGCUAAUACCGCAUAAGACCACAUACAGGUAUCUGUAAGGGGUCAAAAGAUUUUAUCGGUUAAAAGAUGAGCUCGCAUCCCAUUAGAUAGUUGGUGAGGUAACGGCCCACCAAGUCAACGAUGGGUAGCCGACCUGAGAGGGUGAUCGGCCACACUGGAACUGAGAUACGGUCCAGACUCCUACGGGAGGCAGCAGUCGGGAAUAUUGGGCAAUGGAGGCAACUCCUGACCCAGCAACGCCGCGUGAAGGAAUAGAAGGUCUUCGGAUUGUAAACUUCUGUCGUGAGGGACGAAGAAUGACGGUACCUCACAAGAAAGCCCCGGCUAACUACGUGCCAGCAGCCGC